UAUGUAUUUUGCUAUGGUCCUGUUCUACAGCUCUAGUUCGCACCCAUAUGGAAAUUUGUCUCAGUAAGUCUCAUUUAUCUUAAUCCAGGGGAAAAUAUUGUAGCUACUAUGGAAUCAUAAGCACAGCGAAACUAUAUAACAUAAGCCCCAUAUGUCAGAGGCUUAGUGGCCAAAGUAAGUGCCAGCAGCCGCGGUCAUACUUAGUCUAAGAUUUUAGAACUAAACAGAGUACAAGUAAAAAGUUCUAUUAUUUUCUUUUAAUGGGGCCUUGAUUGGUGAAAUAAUAAGUGCCUCCAUUAUACUAAUAAAGAUUUUUAAUUAUUUUUCUUAGUUACUUCAACCUCCUGCAAUAAACUAGGAUUAGAGACCCUAUUAUAAGGAGACGAACUGAUUAACUCUUAGUAAUACUACUUUUUGGGUUUAAACUAAAACAGCAUGGCGGCAGAAGCUACUUUUCAGGGGAACUUACGGGAUAAUUGAUAAUCCUCAAGCUAAUAAUACCUUUAACAACAGUUUGUAUGCCGUCGUCUUCAGGUCUUUUUUUAUUAAAAAGCCAAAAUCUUUUAAUUACUACAUUUGCUAAAAGAAAAAGUCAGAUCAAGGUGCAGCCUAUUUAAAGGACCUCCGCGAGUUACAAUAAUGCAUAAUAUUACUUUGAACGCUUCACAUAAACAUGUAAGCCAAAACUGGACUUGAAAGUAACAAUCACAUGUCUUAUAAACUUUGAAUAAUUUUUCUUUUGUGUACAAAUCGCCCGUCACUCUCGAGACAACUUGAGAUAAGUCGUAACACAGUAGGGGUAAAGGAAUUUGCUCCUAC
rnacentral:ncRNA from 1 species